GACAUGCAAAACAUUUGAAAUAUUUCGCACCACCUCGACGAAGGCUUGUAUACUAAAAUCAAAAAACAACUUUUUACUUAUUCACAUUUUUAUUACCGAGCAACUUUCACAAAUUGUAUCUGUAUUGUCUGUAAGACGUGCCCUGCAGUGAUCAUCGCAUAUAGCUUAUGAUCCUCGGGCCAUAGUAUGUAACGAAAGCCUCAGCUUCUCAGUCUUCCAAAAGCUGACUGUAUCACCUGAGAUCAAAAAAACAGGAUUCACAAACGUUCUCAUACGUCGUGACAACGAGAAAUUGUACAAAUCUUUACCAAACUUCAAAGCAAUGAGCUUUGCACGGUAACCGCCACCAGAGAUAUCGGCAGCACUCCGGCCUUGGUUUGUGAAAACAACCCGGUCGGCAGCAAGGACGUUGAGGGACGUAGUACUUGGGUCGUGGUUCCGGUUUCAGAGGAAUGGUGACCGUGCAACCCCUACAAGAGUCGCAGAGUUACAAACGGAUAAACCAGAGAAAAUCAAGACGAAGAUGAUGGGAACUUGCCCAUGAAGCAUUAAACCUGACCUGUGCCGGGCGGACUUUGCACUGCACCUUCGGAAAUACAAUUAAUCCAGCCACGACGAGCGAUGCCUUCCGAUGAUCACUCAUUGUCAGAGUCGAACCGCUCAUUUCAAGGGACUCGCUGCCACCCUGGCCGGACAUUGCGGAGGACAUGCUGGAGGACACGGCGGUGGACAGUAAGGAACGCAUUUUGGAGGACAGGGUCCGCACGGCACCGGUGGUGUACAAAUCGUGAUUCGGCAAGGCGGGGGACAAGGACAACAUGGUACGCACGGCGUGCAAGGUGGACAAGGUGGUGGGCAGCAAGGGUAUACAGGACUAUUCUGCUUGCAACCUGGGGAGGAAGGAGCUUGAGGCGGAGACGAGCCACCACAGCACGACAUUUUCUUCAAAUUUUUCGAUCCCCUGGAACAAUCACUGCUGUUCGCUGGAUUAAAAUACAGACUUCUAAAUUGAUAAGGAAUUAGGCUUGCACCUACAUUACACAGUACACUAAAUAAGUGAUCCAGGACACCUGAUGACGGCAAUGUAAAAUAUAACAACUCGUUGACCAUGGACGAUAAAAUAUUAGCAUCGAGGUGGUGGGCAACAGGGCAUGCACGGUAAACACGGUGGUGGGCAUGGUGGAGAACAAGGCGGCGGACAUGGCAUACAGGGAACACACGAAGGGCAAGGCAUACAACGAGGCGGCGGUGGACAGCAACUGAUGCAUGGUGGGCAAGGUGGAGGACUGCAGGGCGGUGGACAGGGUGGAGGGCAGCGAGGUGGCGGACAACAUGGAGGCGGAGGGCAUCGAGGUGGCGGACAACAUGGAGGCGGAGGGCAUCGAGGUG